rnacentral:lncRNA from 1 species
UUUAUCUCACUCAUUUCUCUUUGCCGCCAUAGUUGAAUCUCAAGUGAAGCAGAUCAGAUGGGAUCAGAACAAAGAAAGAAAGAAAGGUGAUGAAUGAAAGGGUUGGCAGUUUCCGAAGUACUCUCGGGGUUUUCUGAGGCACAAGCUAUGGGAAGCAUUUGGUUUGUGUGGUGAGCAAAGGGUUAAGUACCAGUCAAAUGACGCAACUAAAUUAUAGAGUUGAAAAAUUAGAAAUUUGUAUAAAAUAUGAUAAGAAUUGAAUAGCUUUUUUAAGAAUUAUAAUUUUUCUCUUUUUUUACAAAAGGAGAACACUUCCCUCUAAAUAUAUAGAAAAAUACCUCAAUUUUUUUUUUAUAUUUUUCUCUAUCACUUUUCUCUUUUUCGAUAUCAUUUGUUAUCUAAUGAGAUUAUCUAUUUAUGUUCAAAUUCUUCUCACCUUAACCAUACAAUAACUAUAGGUGGAUAAUGAGUAUUACUUUGGACAGUUAAUGUUUGAUAGCUUAUAAGUAAGAUAAUUUUCUCCUUUCAUUUUGUUAGAUUUUUAUUUCUUUUUCAUAAAAAUUAACUUUACUCUUUUUUUACAUGAAGUUGACUUUGAUGAACUUUAUGAUUGUCUUCUGAGGUGAUCACUGAUCAUGCUGAAUGCUAGCACGCCACCAAAAAUAAAUAAAUAAAUAAAUAACAUUAUGUUUCCUUUUCAGUGAUUUCAGAGGACAAUUAUUUGAGGUUAUUUUAUUCUCAAUCUUAGACAGAAUGGCAGAAAAUGCUGGCUAUUGCUGCUUUGAAGAAAUCUUACAGAAUGGCAGAGGAAGAGAAGAAUAGAAAAGGUAGAAGAGAAUAGAAAGCAAUGAAAAAUGAAUCUGAAGUUUGAUUUAGUAUUUGGAAAAUUAUUACAAGCCUUGAGUCUUCUACCUAAGUCAGAGGUUAUAUAUAUAUAUACUCUUUUGUAAGCAUAUUACCGGUUCACCAGUUAUACAAAAAAGGCUAUAUAUAUGAGAUUUACAGCAAAUUAACAUU